rnacentral:rRNA from 1 species
GACAGAGGGGGCAAGCGUUGCUCGGAAUCACUGGGCGUAAAGGGCGCGUAGGCGGGAUGGCAAGUCAGUCGUGAAAUCUCUCGGCUCAACCGAGAAACGUCGGCUGAUACUGCCGUUCUUGAGGGAUGCAGAGGAGACUGGAAUUCCCGGUGUAGCGGUGAAAUGUGUAGAGAUCGGGAGGAACACCGGUGGCGAAGGCGGCGACCUGGGUAGAUACUGACGCUGAGGUGCGAAAGCGUGGGAGCAACAGG